rfam:Chloroflexus aurantiacus J-10-fl, complete genome.
GGGUGUGUGAGGAGCGCGGUGGACCCACCCCGAUCCAUCCCGAACCGGGUCGUGAAACAUCGCAGCGCCGAUCCUACUGGCGGCUCUCCGCUGGGAACCUAGGUCCACGCACCCG